GCUCAACCGGGGAGGGUCAUUGGAAACUGGGGAACUUGAGUGCAGAAGAGGAGAGUGGAAUUCCACGUGUAGCGGUGAAAUGCGUAGAGAUGUGGAGGAACACCAGUGGCGAAGGCGACUCUCUGGUCUGUAACUGACGCUGAGGCGCGAAAGCGUGGGGUGCGAACAGGAUUAGAUACCCUGGUAGUCCACGCCGUAAACGAUGAGUGCUAAGUGUUAGAGGGUUUCCGCCCUUUAGUGCUGCAGCAAACGCAUUAAGCACUCCGCCUGGGGAGUACGGUCGCAAGACUGAAACUCAAAGGAAUUGACGGGGGCCCGCACAAGCGGUGGAGCAUGUGGUUUAAUUCGAAGCAACGCGAAGAACCUUACCAGGUCUUGACAUCCUCUGACAACCCUAGAGAUAGGGCUUCCCCUUCGGGGGCAGAGUGACAGGUGGUGCAUGGUUGUCGUCAGCUCGUGUCGUGAGAUGUUGGGUUAAGUCCCGCAACGAGCGCAACCCUUGAUCUUAGUUGCCAGCAUUCAGUUGGGCACUCUAAGGUGACUGCCGGUGACAAACCGGAGGAAGGUGGGGAUGACGUCAAAUCAUCAUGCCCCUUAUGACCUGCGCUACACACGUGCUACAAUGGGCAGAACAAAG
rnacentral:rRNA from 1 species